rnacentral:misc_RNA from 1 species
UGAAAUGCGAUAACUAGUGUGAAUUGCAUUAUCUCGUGAAUCAUCAAGUCUUUGAACGCAUCUUGCACUUUUCAGGUCUCCUGAAAAGUAUACUUGUUUGAGUAUCAUAAACAUUUAAUCUAAACUAUCCCCAUUAAAAAAGGCUAGUUUGGGAUUUGAGGCUUCAAGAGCGAGAUAUACAUUUCUCCUUGUGCCUUUAAAUGUAUAGUAUAAGCUACAUUUUUGUUUCGGCAAAAAUGAGCCUUUAUUGGAUCAAACGUGAGAUAGCACAUCACACAGAGUAGUCUUUAUAAAGGUAUAGCCUAUAAAUGAGGUAUAUUUUGAACAUUGAUCUCAAAUCAAGUAAGACUACCCGCUGAACUUAA